rfam:Dictyostelium purpureum unplaced genomic scaffold DICPTscaffold_41, whole genome shotgun sequence.
GAAUUCCUUACAGCAAUUUAAUAAAAAUCAAAUUACACACUUGAAAACCUUGGAUUCUG